UACGAAGGGUGCAAGCGUUAAUCGGAAUUACUGGGCGUAAAGGGUGCGUAGGCGGUUCGUUAAGUCUGUCGUGAAAUCCCCGGGCUCAACCUGGGAAUGGCGAUGGAUACUGGCGAGCUAGAGUGUGUCAGAGGAUGGUGGAAUUCCCGGUGUAGCGGUGAAAUGCGUAGAGAUCGGGAGGAACAUCAGUGGCGAAGGCGGCCAUCUGGGACAACACUGACGCUGAAGCACGAAAGUGUGGGGAGCAAACAGG
rnacentral:rRNA from 1 species